rnacentral:pre_miRNA from 17 species
UAUAUAUCAUGGUGAAAUGCUCAAACAUCAGUGGUAGUCAUUCAUGCACCACGAUUGUCUGAGUAUGUGCCAUGUUAUCCC